UCAAGAAGGCUCUCAAUGUCAGGUUUGUACCAGAUGCAUCAAAGAACGUGUUGUCUUUGAGCGUGUUGGCAUCACGGGGGUACAGAUUCGUUGGACGAGGGUGAAGUUGCAAGGUGUAUAAAGGAAAGAGCUUGAUUCUACGAGGGAUGAUGAACAAGAAGAACAUCUAUUGUUUAGAUGGUGGAGAAACGAAGACGAAGACCGAGAAAAAGGUGAGAUUCUCGGAUUCAGUUGAAGUAUUAGGGAAUUCGAGCCGAGGGAGGAUUUGUUGGGUUCCGUCCCGAAUUCCUAAAUAAGU
rnacentral:lncRNA from 1 species